UGGGGCGUAGCCAAGUGGUCUAAGGCACCGGUUUUUGGUACCGGCAUUCGAAGGUUCGAAUCCUUCCGCCCCAGCCA
rnacentral:tRNA from 1 species